rnacentral:lncRNA from 1 species
CUCGCACAUUGAAGGAAGAGAAGAAGCGUGACAUACAUCGGAUACAGGAGCUGGAGAGAAGCUUCUCUGAACUGCAAAACCAGAUGGCUGAGCCCCAGUCCCCGGCACCCCCAGCAGGGACCUCUGAGUUGGAGCAGCUACAAGAUGAGGCCAAACAGCUGAGGAAGGAAGUGGAGGGACUGGAGGGAAAGCUCCAAUCCCAGGUGGAAAACAACCAGGCCUUGAGUCUCCUGAGCAAGGAACAAAAUGAGAGGCUCUGAGAGCAGGAGGAGCGGAGGGUGCAGGAGCAGGAGAGACUGUGUGAGCAAAAUGGGAGGAUUCAGGAGCAGCAGAAGAGGCUGGGGGAGGAGGGUGAGAGGCUGCAAAAGCAGGAGCAGAGGCUAUGGAAGCAGGAGGAAAGGCUGCAAAAGGAGGAGGAGCAGCACGAAAGCAGGAGGAGAGGCUGUGGGACCAGGAGAAGAGGCUGUGGGAGAAGGAGAGGCUACGAAAGCAGGAGGAGAGGCUCACACUCUCCCAGAACCACAAGCUCGACAAGCAGCUGGCCGAGCCACAGUGCAGCUUCGAGGAUCUGGUGGGUUGCCCCACCUGGGGAGCCUGCCCUCAUCCCUAUCCCUCCAGGCCUUUGUUUCCCCACCUGUAAAACGGGGCAGUGCAGCCCUCACAUGAAAUGGUACUUCUAAAGGCACCUGUGAGCCAGAGCUCAUCAGGCCCUCCUCUGAUGGCUGUGGGGGAGAGGGGAUGAUUUUUCUAACCUGCCUCCACCUUUCCAGUGACAUGGGAGGCAGACACCAAGUUCAGGGGUCUCCCGCUGCAGUGGAUGGCCACUGAUUGUUUCUGUCCAGAACAACGAGAACAAGAGCACACUGCAGUUGGAGAAGCAAGUAAAGGAGCUGAAGGAGAAGCCAGGCGAGGUGAAGGAGAUGGUAACCUCCACCCCAUCCAAGAAGGGCUGGGAGGCGGGCACCAGCCUCUGGGGAAGGGAGGUGCCAGGCCAAAGGCAGCUCCAGCUGGGGGGCAGGUGACCCCAGCACCCUCCAGGGCAGCCCUAUGAAUGUUUCUUGCUUCCUGCCCUCUGACUUUUAGAGGUGGGUAGCCCUGGGUUCCUCCCAGGUCUGGACAUCAUCCCCCCAGCUAGAGGCAUGGAUUCCCCCAAUCGGGGGAAGAGACAGUGGUACAAGAGGCUCCUUAUGCGGGGCACAUUGGCUUGCACCUGUAAUCCCAGCACGUUGGGAGGCUGAGGCAGGAGAAGCACUUGAGGUCAAGAGUUUGAGACCAGCCUGGCCAACAUGGCAAAACCUCAUCUCUACGAAAAUUAAAACAACAAUAAAAAAUUAGCCAGGCAUGGUGGCGCAUGCCUGUAAUCCCAGCUACUCAGGAGGCUGAGGCAUGAGAAUCGCUUGAGCCCGGGAGGUGGAGGUUGCAGUGAGCUGAGAUUGCACCACUGCACUCCAGCCUGGGCCACAGAGUGACACUGUCUCAAAACAAAACAAAACAAAACAAAAAAGCCUCCUUAGAUUCAAACUGGAUUCCGACCUCGGUUCCACUGGUCACCAUUCAACUACUGUUCAUCUCUUAGUCUCUGUUUCUGUAACUUCAAAAGGAAGUUAGCAUUUUCCUUGCAGAGGUGCUGAGGAUUGAAUGAGAGAAUACCUGGAAAGCAUUAGGCAUGUAGCACACUUAGCAGAUGGUGGUUGGCUCCCUCUGCUUUUCCACCAGUCUGUGGCCUACAGUUUAAAUGGUGGGAAGAAGGACAUGAGAUCUGAGGCUGGGGAAGGAGGUAUGGGGUUCUAGGCAAGGGAGGAAGCCUCUUAGGCCUGGAGCAAGGGAGCAGGGUCCUGGGCAGGUGACAGAGCCCCACAGUGCCCUAGCUACCCUAUUAAUGGGCCCAGAACCUGGAAGCCAGCCACCAUGUGCCCUCAUGCCCAGGGUCUUCCUGCAGGUGGAGAUGAAGAGCCAAGAGUCUCAGAGUCUGCAGCAGCAGUGAGACUAGUACCUGGGUCACCUGCAGCAGUACGUGGCCACCUAUCAGCAGCUGACCUCUGAGAAGGAGGCGCUGCACAGGCAGUUACUGCUGCAGACCCAGCUCGUGGACCAGCUGCAGCAGCAGGAAGCUUGGGGCAAAGCGGUGGCUGAGAUUAUAACAUUUUAAAAUAUGAAUACAGUAGUUUAAAACAAAGAAACUGGAGGAAGGAAAAGUAGAGAAAGAGAUGCCAAUUCAAGUCCAAACCUUUAUUUGCCAAGUUUUCUUAGAAUGACUUUUACCAAUU